CAAGGGGCUGAAGGGAGGGGGGCCUGGUGCCAGCCGUUUAAAAGUGCCCUUGUGGCAGUGAGGGGCACCAGAGGCCGCAUCAAUUUUGUUCAGAAGCAGUGACACCCCCAACCAUGCCCCCAAACAGGCUGGCCCCCAUCUCCGUGCCCCAAGGAGCCACACCUGGACCAGGCCCCCAGAAAGGCAAUGGCACUGGCUGGCAGGAGCCUUCCCUACCACCUGAUGUCAGAAAGCAAGAACCCAGUGAGGGAGCCUCCUGGGGACAGAGAAGAGCGAGCGACAUGCGGCCCUGGAAACAGAACUGCCCACAGCUGAACUGACCCAGGAGUGCUCAACUCAGGAGACAUUGGCCUGCGGAGGAGACGCAGCCUCCCCUUCACCCACACGUCCCCAGAGCUUCCCGACAGAAGACAGAGGUUCCCCCCCCCGCCUAGCGACAUUUCCUGAAGACAUAGGGAGCGCAGAAGCGGAAAGAUCUCUCCACCCGGGAGCAGCCCCCACGCUGCCAAUGGCCACCCCCGAGCCAGCCGCCAGGUAAGAUUCAACCACCACCUGGCUUAACAGGUGCAGAGAGGAGAAAGCCUGGUGAGAAGUAGAGCCCGGGACUCCAGAGUAGCCUCCCCUUCAUCUCCUGACCAGAGAGCCCGAGUGUGAAGGGCCUCUUGUGAGGUGAGUGGAGCCAACAAUGGCUCAGGAAGGCCGUCUUUGAAAGGAGAUGGCGGUUGGGAUGAGUGGUGUCUGCAUGCCCUGCAGUAUGUGCCACUCAGAGGAAGAGUUUCUGGACCCAGAAGCCCGGGAGGAGUGCCCCCUGCACACUGCCUCCUCCUCCAGGAAGCCUUCUCGGCUGUCUGUGGGGCUGGAACCCCUUUGUCCUCUAAGCUCUAGGCUGUCCUUUCUCGGCCUCCCAGGCCCACCCACCCUGCCAGGGACAUUUUCCUUCUGCCUCACCCUGACUGUGCUCCUCUCGGGCAAGGACUUCAGAUUCAGUCCCUUCUCCCCUCAGCAUGUAGAAGAGAGACCGAGCUCACUGAAUGAACAGACGGAAUGAUCAGACCUUGUCCCAAAACCAAAGGUCUGGUAAAGUGGUCAGGAGACAUCUAGCACAGAGGUUAAAAAUGAGGGUCCUGGAUUCUUGAGUUAGGAAUCCCAGCUCAGUUCCAAGCUCUGUGCCCUUGGAAAAUUCCCUUCUCAUGGAGCCUCAGGGGUGCCCAAGGACACUUAAACAUACCACUUAAACACUUAAACAUACCAUAAGUCACUAUUCUUCUUGCAGUCAUCAUCACUAUGAUUAUUCUAGAGGAACAGAACUGGAUGGCCUAUCACUAGGGGGUGGACCAGACUCACAGACCACAGAGGGGAAGGAGGCACAUACCUUCCCUGGUCAAAGGCUGCAUCUUGGCCCUGUCUCUGCAUCAGUUUCUCCUGGAGAAGCAUGGGACUGCCUUCCAUCUAGUUCCUGUCCUAAAUCCGGGAGAAAUGCUAUCUUUGCUGUAAUAUUCAUUUUUAUUUUUUUUGCACUUUCUGGCCGGGGCUGGGUUUGAACCCACCACCUCUGGCAUAUGGGGCCGGCACCCUACUCCUUUGAGCCACAGGUGCCACCCCUGCUGCAAUAUUCUUAACCCAUGGCAUGUGGUGAAAAUGGCCCUGAACUCCCGUGAUUUGAGCCCUGGCUCUGUGACCCUUGGAACAGUCCCCUCCCCUUCCUGGUUCUCCAUGUAGAAAUGACAACAUUCUCCUGCCUAGCUCCCUAGCAGUCCUGAAGUUUAACAGAAAUUGUUUCCCAAACUCAAUCAUUCAGAUACUUCAUUUUUAUUUUUGCCAUAUCUGCAUAUAAUCAUAUUUUUAAAUAUAAGAUGAAUCCUUUUUUAAUACUUAAAUAGAAAAAGCUACUCUGGGCUUGUCACCCAUAACACAGAGGUUAGGGCGUCGGCCACAUACACCUGAGCCGGCGGGUUCGAAUCCAUCCUGGGCCCACAAACCAACAGUGAUGGCUGCAACCAAAAAAUGGCCGGGCACUGUGGCGGGCACCCGUAGUCCCAGCUACUUGGGAGGCAGAGGCAGGAGAAUCGCUUGAGCCCAGGAUUUGGAGGUUGCUAUGAUCUGUGAUGCCACAGCACUCUACCCGGGGUGACAGCUUGAGGCUCUGUCUCAAAAAAAAUAAAAAUAAAUAAAUAAAAUAAAAAAUAAAACAUAAUUAGGAGAUAAAGGUAACAGUAAUUACACUAACAAUGAAACAACACAGUUAUACUUUACCCUGACACUGUGGCUUGCAAGGAGGGCCUGGGCAGUAAGCAGGAGUUAGAAAGGCUCAGGGACAGGAUAGCACCAAGUGGAGGCUUUCUUCCCCUGGUAAACAGAAAGACCAAAAGCAAUUGAGAGAACAACCUGAGUCACUGUGCUCCCAAGUGAGUUCAUUCACCCCACAGCCAAAGACAGUUUAGGCGAAAGGGCUUUGGAAACCGUCUCCCACCAAGUGAAGGCAGCAGACACUCCAUCAGCCCAGUUCCCACAGCACCACCUUUCCAGGCUACUCUCCCUGGCUUCCUACUGAAACCGCCUGCGGAGCAGGCUGGGUAUGCUCCUUCCCAGGGCCCACUGGAGCCCUGGGAAAGUGGAGCAGGCAGACUAUCUGUGAUUCCCAAGUGAGGCCCAAUGUUGGAAUCACUCCCUAGCCAAAGGCAGUUUGAAAAGAGACCUGCAAGAGAAUUCCAAAUAGGAGGAAGGUAGCUCUUUAGCUAGGGAUACGUCAGGAACGGGCUGUCCCCCUUUGGCAAAACUUAACCUCCCCCAAGUGACAGACCAGAGGAAAACACUCUUUCUACUCUUCCAAGAUUGGUUUCAAAUUUCUGCUAGAGGUGUAGGAAGCAGUUUUUUCUUUUUUCUUUUAAGGAAGCAUGUGUUUUUUCUGCUCUCUCCCAGCGCUGAGGAAAAGCUGCCUGCCCACUUCAGACACUCCUGAAAAUAUACAUCAUCUGGCAUUGAUACCACCACAGUGACUAUUAAGCAAAGUAGAAGGUCCUCUGAGGUCUUCUGAGAUUGGCGAGGGCAGGAAGAGUGGGGGAGGGAGGGAGGCUUUGCUUGGUCACCUGCAAGUUCCCAUCCAAGCCCAGCCCAGAGAAGAAAAUGAAUGAUCUACAUGGUCAUUCAUUCGGCCACCAAAUGGCAUUUGCUGGGGUCCAUCAUCAUCUACAAAACCACAUCAGCAAGAGCCAGCAUCCCCCAAAUCAACCAGGCAUGGGCACUAUCCUCAGAGACCCAGAGAUGUAGCCAGGUCAGACCCACACAGAAAUAAUUCUGAUACUAGAAAUAAUGAGACCAAAGAAACAUGAUCCAGCCAUUUGAACAAUGCUUAUUUGUCCUGUAUGCUACCUGGUCCUGAUGUCAGUGGUCAGUGUGGGCGACAGGCCAUAUGGUCCAUGAGUAAAGGUGUCAUAAAUGACAAUUACAUCACAAAUGUGAUAAGGGAUUAGAAGGAGGGCACAGGAUGAGUGAGAAUGAGAAGGAGAGGGCCCUGAUAUCUACAGAAAUCAGGGAGGGCCUCUUAGACCAGUCACCUGAACAGAGGGGUAGAUGAGACUAAGUUCAUGAAGAGGAGAAGGGUGGGAGAGCAGGGGACAGAGAAGAACCAGGGAGUGACAGAGCUCCUGGGAGCCUGGGAUGGGCAGACUCGGGCUCCCUGGAGUAAUGGAAGGACAUCUAUGGCCAGAGCCCACAAGGAAGAAGACCAGGUGGCCUUGGUCUGCAUACUUUAGCCUUCUGGGGGAGCGUCAGAACUUAGCCUGAGGACAAUGGGGGCCUUUUUGAGAAUUUACAGUGGGGAAAGAUAUGAUCACAUUUGCAUUUUCAAAAAUCAUUCUGCGAGUGGGCGGUGUCCGUAGCUCAGUGGGUAGGGUGCUGGCCACAUAUACCAAGGCUGGUGGGUUUGAACCCAGCUAAAACAAUGACAACUGCAACAACGACAACAACAAAAUGCUCACCUGCAAGUUCCCACCCAAGCCAAGCCCAAAGAAGAAAAUGAAUGAUCGACAUGGUCAUUCAAUUGGUGCCACGUUGUAGUGGGCCCCUGUAGUCCUAGCCACUUGGGAGGCUGAGGCAAAAGAAUCACUUAAGCCCAAGAGUUUGAGGUUACUGUGAGCUGUGACACCAUGGCACUCUACCCAGGGCCAGAGCUGGAGACUCUGUCUCAAAAAAAAAAAAAAAAAAUCUCUCUGAGAGGACAGGUGGGAAGACGAGGGGAGUGAAGAAGGGAGACAGGGCUGGACGUGGUGGCUCACGCCUAUAAUCCUAGCACUCUGGGAGGCUGAGGCAGGAGGGUCCCUUAAGCUCAGGACUUUAAGACCAGCCUGAGCAAGAGUGAGACCCCAUCUCUACUAAAAUAAAAGAAUUAGCCAGGCAUUGUGGCAGGUGCCCGUAGUCCCAGCUAUUUAGGAAGCUUGAGGCAUGAGGUUCACUUGAGCCCAAGAGUCUGAGGUUGCUGUGACUUACAAUGAUGCCAUGGCACUCCAACCCCAAGUUGACAAAGUGAGACUCUAUUAAAAAAAAAAAAAGAAGAAGAAGAAGAAGGAAGAUAGGAAGUCUAAAAUAUCAAGGACCAUGAAUGGAGCUACUUGGCUGGGAUGCACCAAGCAUAAAGCAUAAACCAUCCAACAAAUUGGAUGAUCCCAUUCAUUGAAAUGUGCAGAUUAGGCAGCUCUAUAGAGACAGAAGGUGAUCUGCCCAGGGCUAGGGGUUGGCUAAGAAUAAGGGGCUUCUUUCGAGAGGUUAAUUAAUUAAUUUUAAUACUCUAAAAUUAAUUUUGGCAACAGUUGUGCAACUUUAUGAAUGUAUUAAAAAUCACCUGGUUGUUAACAUGAAAUGGGUAGAUCCUAUCUAAAUAAAGCUGUUAAAAAAGAAAAAGAAAGGGGUGGCGGCCCCAUGUACUGGAGGUAAUGGGUUCAAACCCGGCCCCGGGCAAAAAAAACUGUAAGAAAGAAGGUUGAGGUCUGAUCCCAGAAGGCUCCAAUGGCAGGCAACACACAGGAAACAAAGCUGGGGGUGGUCACCACAGUCUCGGGAUGAGCUGGAGGGGCAGGGCCCAGGUUCCCUCUAAUGUCCGUCUCCUGCCAGGCUGGAGCUCACCACUAGUCGCCAGAGUGGAGCAGCACAGCGCCCUGUCUCCCAGCCUGAGGUGCAGUGCUGCAUCUCUGGUCAGUUGGGAGUCUGAGAUGAAGCACUGUAGCUCGGGAAGGGAGAAGUUGUUCUGCAGCCAUCAGCCUGAAAGUGGUAAGUCGGGGGUGGGCAGAGGGUACCAAGAAACUGGAGGUCAGUCACUUGUGGUGCUGGGGAAAUUCCUAGCCUCAAGUUCUACCCAACUUACUCAAGUAAGUUCUUGACUUACUUCAAGAUUCUGGGCAUGUUCUGGCUCUUCUGUGCAUUCCAGUGUGUCCAUCCUUAACAUGAGGUCUCUUUCUGAGCUCCCAGAAGACACUGCUACUCAGUUAUGACCUUCAUGCUUAAAGUGUUCAGAUGCAGCUUCAGACCCUUCUCAACAAUGACCCUGGACAGCCACUAUUAGUGAUUCAGAGCUGAAAAUCAUGCAUCAUUUGUGGUUUGGACAAUUCCUAAAAACCUUUUAGCCCUAAAGACAAAAGUCCUAGACUUUGAGUCAGCGUCUUGACUCUCUAUGCUCCUACCCUUGGCUCUGGGUUAUUGCCUAAACCAGUUCAGGCUCUCACAAAUGUCUGACUUCUCCUGAAGGCUUCGGACAAACAAUGAACAGCAGAGGAGAGCACUAGGCUAAGCACAAUUUCAUUUAACCUCGCAACAAGUUUGGGAAGUGGGCAAUCUUGAAGGCCCAUUUUAUAGAUGAGAAACACCGAGGCUCAGAAAAAGUUUGUCCAACAUCACACAAUGAUUGUGCUAAAUUGGGCUGGUAAUAAUCUGCCUGAGGAUCCAUGUUCUUACCCCCUUUUCGUGUGAUUGUGAAACCUGGGACAGAGAGGAUUUAUUAAGAAGACUUAUUAAGGCUCAGCAUCCAUAGCACAGUGGUUACAGAGCCAGCCACAUACACCGAGGCUGCCGGGUACGAACCCAGCCCAGGCCAGCUAAACAACAAAGACAACUGCAACAAAAAAUAGCUAGGUGUGUGGUGGGUGCCUAUAGUUCCCAGCUACUUGGGAGGCUGAGGCAAGAGAAUCACUUGAGCCCAGGAGUUGGAGUUUGCUGUGAGCUGUGAUGCUACAGCACUCUACCCAGGGUAACAGCUUGAGACUCUGUCUCAAAACAAACAAACAAAUAGAGAGAGACUUAUUAAGUUCUCUUUAAUAAAUCCUGCUCUGGUCUUGUCUUUGCAUCUCAGGUUAACUUUUAUUUCUCUCUCUCUCUUUUUUUUUUUUUUACAUCCACAGUGUGCCACAUUAGGUUACUUUUAGCAAAGACAGACCCAAACACUUACCAUUAAUCCUAUGGGCUUUCUUCCUUCUAUCCUCCUCCCCUGCUGCCAAAUCUCUCCAGUAGGCACUAUACUAUUCUAUUUUAUAAUUAAGGAAAGCCAAGCCUCAGAGGUUACAUGACUUGCUAGAGUCUAUGAGGGAGGAAGUUGCCAAGCAGAGACAAGGAACUGGAUGGUUGGUUUAAAUUCACCCCUCUGGCUAGAGACUCAGGAGUACACCACUGACAGCAGUUGGCAAUCCUAGGGGGCUUAUGGUCCUGGGGGGGGAGCACCAGCUGGUUUCUGGUCAACAAUGCCAUCAAAGUCUGGCCUUUGACUACAAAGAAGGGAAUUUCCAGGACACUUGAAAUUUCAGGAGCAAUGAGCCACAUCCUGUGAUCCGUGGCACCCCAUGCUGGCUGCCACAGAUGGGGCUGGAUGCAGAAGAAAACUCCAGCUGGUUCUCAGGGCCAUGGCAGGCCUUGGUGCUGAAGGCCACUGUCUCCCACCUUGUCCUCACGGUCCAGUUUUCCCAGGAAUCCCUUAGAUGCUAAGAUGGGGAUUCCUGGAAAUACUGUUCUUGAGGUCAGGGUUUAACAGCCGGAUUCACCUCCUUCCUACGCGGAGCUGCCCGCCAUGGCCCACAGCUGGAGCAACAGAUGGGGCCAGUGAGAAGGCCUGGAGGUAAGAAGGCUUGUGAAACAGGUUCUCGACCUUUAUGUUGCUUUUCUUCCCAUUGUGUCCAUUUCGUAACAGCCCUGUGAGGCUGGAUGUGGGAACUUCAGCACUGCUGCACUCUUGGGAAAUCUUCCCCAAAGCCACUCAGCUGAGCAGUUUGUCUAACCAGAACACCUCAAGGCGCGUGUUUCUCCAUCACCACCCCCCUCCGCAGCCUUGCAAGAAGGGGCACAAUAUCACAUCCACGUUAUUGAUGAACUAUUAAACGCACACGAAUUUAUUUUAGAAGUGCGUUAAAUCCGUUACGUAAACUACAAACCAUAAGUCUUAAUUUGAUUUGGAACGAAAUCAGAGAAAAACGGAAAUUUUUCAUCAGAGAUAAAGACAAAAAGCUCAGAGCGCCCUCUUGUGGUGCCUCUGGCGGCACCAGGACUGCCUGGCUCCACCUACAGCGAUAAAUUCUCAUCUUCCUGACGACGUCGUCUUACGCGCACACCCUGAGGCUCUCUUUGUUAUUCCGCAGCACUUUGAGCCAGUGAGUGCGUAAGCCCUCUUCCUCAUCAUAUCCAUCAUUUCUCUACUUUUACGUCCACGUCCUUAUUUCAUCUUAAGCUCCCCCCUUAGGUCAAUGAGGUUAGCAAGGCUCAGAGACCAGCCCAAGGUCACUCAGAUAGCAAAAGGCAGAGCUAGGAUUAAUUUCAAGUUCAGUGACAUAUGGCAAUUUUUUUCACCAAAAGAAAAGGCUACAAAAAUUAAAAAAUGAAAAAAGCCAGCCUCUCUGACUACAUAUAGGAAAUGCUACCUGACUGAACGACAAAAGGCCUAAGUGUUACAGGUACAAAACUAGAACUUUCCCCCAAACUCUUGCUACUACUAUUCAUGGAAAUGGUAGAGAUGCUAUUAAGUGUCAUGGCCCUGGAACCCUCAUUUUGGGGUCUGACCCCUACACUCUCAGGUACCAGGCAGUUCCCACAAAUGUCCCAGCUUGUCAUCCUCACAGGCCACAUUAAAGACAUCUAUGAAGUGAGAAAUCCCGCCCCGCCCCCAUCUGCAGAGACUGGAGCUGGCCUGACCAUGGAAAAAUCAGAUUUGCUAAUAAUAUUAAUAACACUACUCGCCCCACUCACUGUCUGCACUUGGUCAGCCACUGACCUCCACACCUUCACAAGCAUUGCCCCAUUCAGCAACCCAGUGAAGUGGGUUCUACUCUUUACUCCAUUACACAGAUGAAGCCCAGGCUGAGAGAGGCUGAGGCUUACCUAAGGUCACACAGCUAAAAAGUGGUGAGGCUGGAACUAAAUCACGUGUGUGUUCAUGUUUUGGGCCAUCAUGUUGCAACUUCAACCUCCCAUUUGGCCUAGACUGGCUGGUGGGGCUGUAUUCUGAUGGGUUUCCCUGGGGAAGAGGAAAACACAAGCCUUUAGUGAGACCCAAGGGUUCUCUCCCAUGCUCUGUGACUAUAAUAAAGUGCUGGACUCUUGG